UCAUGCCCCAAUCAGAGCUGCCUCCUGCUGGCCAAGAUCCAGGAGGUGAAUCUCGGGCUGCGAAACCUACUGGCCAGUCCUGGAAAGGCUGACCCUCCCCCCUGCUUCCCCUCCAGCCCGUUUGGGGCCCCCCUCUUCCAAACGGGGAAGCAGCAGGAAUUUCAGCAGCAAGCCGUGAACGUGCUGAAGGAGCAGAACCGCCUGCUCAUCAAGGAGGUGUCGGAGAAGAGCGACCGCAUCGCCCAGCUGGAGCAGGAGAAGGCGGCUCUGUGCAGGCGACUCCAGGAGAGCCCGGGCUACCGGCUGCCCAGCCACAAGGAGUCGACCUUCAUCUGACGGACGAGGUCACUUCCUCCCGUCGACCUACCAGACGAGGUCACUUCCUUCUGAGAGCAAAGAUGUAAUUUUCUCCUGGGGCAAUGAUGUCACUUCCUGUCAUUUGCCCAAGGCCAGUGAGGUCACUUCCUUCUACCCCACCCCCCCAGGGCAGUCAUUUCCUGCUGGACCUGGAAGGAACUAGCUCACUUCUUCCUCCUGUCCUAUUAUGUCAUUUCCUCUGUCCUGUCAUUGGUCUAUGAUGUCAUGCUCCUGAUGGUAUCACAUCAUCUUCAGACUCUGCUGACAUCACUUCCUCUUCAGAGCCUUUAGGCGUCACUUCCUCCUCCUCGCUUUUUCUGGUGAUGUCACUGACUUCUUCACUUCCCGUCCCUUCUUCCUCCAGCCCAUGUGGUUGUUUCAUAGUCAAGUCCAACCCUGCCCCACCCUCAGAGGUCACGGCCUUUCUUGUGGACACACAUACACAGUCUGACACAAACACUCCAUGAUGUCACACUCCUGGCUUCCUGUCAUCUGGGAGCCUCCCACUGACAUCACUUCCUGGAUUAUGGGUAACAAGAGGGCUAAUAACUGACUGUCCAAAGAGGCUUUCAAUGGGGAAUACCCACAGUGCUUUGCACCAGCUCCAGCAUGACCCUUAGCUAUAGAUCUAUGGGGUCCCCAUCCCAUCCUGCA